UUUGUUGCUAUUUUCACACAUUCGUCGUGACCGCUUUUGGACGUUUCUUGAGUCCAAAUACAUUCUCUUACACAUGGCUUAGGAAAAAAACUAUUUUUUUUGGUGUGUUUUUUUUAAUGGUCAUGGCGAGGUACCAGUGACAGCUUUCAAGUCAUUUUCAGUUUAUGUAAAUUAAAAUUUGAAAGGAGGAAACGGCGGGACUUCCUCAGUGCGCGUCAUAGCGCUGAAGAGCAGCCGUUAACGUUACUUUCCGUUGACUCCUCUCUUUUAAAUCAUGUCGUUUCGGAGAGCGAUCAGUCUUGCGUGCGGCUUCGCCGGCGGAUCCGCGGUGCUGGUGUGCGCGGCGGUCGCGGCAGAUAAGCACGGCUACUUCGCAGACCGAUGCCGGUUAAGAGAGACUCUGGCUGCCGUGCGAGCAGCGCAGACUCCGGCAUGGCCCACUGCGAACGGAUGGGAUUAUAAUUGGGACAAACGUGACCCCUCAUCUCUGGUGAACGGGAAGAGAAAGGAGAGUGCCGGCGACAGUGGAAGUCCAGAUGCGGAGAACAGCAAACCCAAAGCCACACGCCACAUCUUCCUCAUCAGACACUCUCAGUACAACCUCAAGGGGGAUGGAGAUAAAGAGAAGAUACUGACUCCUUUAGGACGUGAACAGGCUGAGUAUACAGGACAGAGAUUAGCGGCACUCGGACUGAAGUACGACGUUCUCAUCCACUCCUCCAUGACCAGAGCUACAGAGACAGCCAACAUCAUCAGCAAAUACCUGCCAGUUGCGGAGCUUGUGAGCUGUGAUUUACUGCGAGAGGGUGCGCCCAUAGAGCCCGUCCCACCUGUCACGCACUGGAAACCUGAGGCAGUGCAGUACCAUGAGGACGGCGCACGGAUCGAGGCAGCGUUCCGCCGCUACAUCCACCGAGCGGACCCUAAGCAGAAGGAAGACAGCUACGAGAUCAUCGUCUGUCAUGCUAAUGUCAUCCGCUAUUUUGUGUGCAGGGCUCUGCAGUUUCCUGCAGAGGGCUGGCUGAGGAUGGGCCUGAACAACGGCAGCAUCACCUGGCUGACGAUUCGGCCCAGUGGCCGAGUGGCUCUCAGAGCGCUGGGAGACUCGGGCUUCAUGCCUCCAGAUAAACUCACCCGGACAUGACGUUCUCAAGCUAGACCAGCAUGCCUCAAAACAGCCUAGAACCGAAGGAUCAUUGAGAUGGACAGAUGUUAGAGUUGCAAAGGAUCAAAAAAAAAAUCCUUAAAUGUUCUCCUGAACUUUUUUUUUUUUUUAUGCUGUUUCAGAGUCGCAGUAUUCCAGAAUACGGAAUGUGAUUUCAUAUUCAUCAUAAUAAAAAUCUUGCAUAGCUGCAAUUUAGGAGAAGAUUGCUGUGAAAAUUUCAUUUGCAACUCUAGCAUCUGUUGCUGUGUUGAUCAGUGACUCCACAAGUGUCUUGUGUGUAUUGAUUUUGUAUUUUUUAAAACAAGCAAGUUAAGAAUUAUUGAUGUUUCUUCAAUUAGACACUCCUGUGCCAUGCUUUGUCAGAUCUAAGGUGGAAUUAACCAGCAAGUGUACUUUUUUUAUGUUUACGACGAGGUGUCUUUUUCCAGUAGCAUUAUGUAAACUCUGGAGGCCUUGAGGCAGUUGGUGUGUAUUUGCACUGUUUACUUGGAAUCGUUUAUGAUUGUUUUAGAGGCAAGGUUUGAGUUUGCUAAAAUGUGAGAAUCUUGCCGUUGAAAGUUUGAGGAUGAUUCUGUAGAAUUGUUUGUAUGUUGUUGUUUAUGGCAGUAAAAAAAUAAAUUCAUUGAGUUGUUUACUAGUGUCAUUUAUUGUUUGAUUCAGGUAAUGGAUUUAAAAAAAUGUCCAGGUCGUAUUUUACCUGAAGAAGAAGAAAAAUAAUGAUAAUAAUAAUUAGGACAUUAAGCCUAUUUUAGGUCCUUGAGUA